UAUCUCUGUAUACAUGUAUAAUAUAUAUAAUAAAUUUGCAUGCAUAUUUACAUUUUUAUAUAUAACAUAAGUAUAAAUAUGUGUAUGUUUACAUUUAUAAAAAUGUUUCCUUCUCUUGAUCUUUCAUGGCAGAGGAGGAGGAAAUGAAGCGGUAGUUAAUGCACACAAGUCCAGCAGAAGUUCCAGCCCAAUGUUCUCAUGCAUAUGAGAAUUGGGAGGGCUUGUUACAACACAGAUCUCUGGGGCCUAGCCCGCAGAGAUUCUGAUUCAGUAGGUGCAUUUCUAACAAGCCCCAGGCGAUGCUAAUGCUGUGGGUCCUGCAUUGCCCCUUGAGGAGCCAGGCCUAACAGUUCUCAAAGUGUGGACCCCCCAUCAACAGCAUCAGCAACACCUGUGAAUUCGUUAGACUCACAAACUUUCAGACUCCACCCAGAGGCCUUUAGUCAGGGUUUGCAUUCUAAUUAGGUUCCCAGGAUAUUCAAGUGCAGGUGAAAGAUGGAGAAGCUCCAGGAGAGGCACUAACAAGGAAGGCGGACACAUUUGAAGGCAACUAAGAAGCACCUUAAGCUGAGAAAGCCUGCCUGCUCCUCCCCAGGGUACCCGGCCCAAAUCACCAUGUCCUGAGCCUGAGAAUCAGCACUGAAAAGAAAGGAUGCAUUUCUCAGAGGUGGAGAAGCAAGUUGUGAAGUCUGAGGCAUGAAAUCAGAAUGCCAAUAUAUUAAUCUACACAGAAAAAUAAAACCAGCCCCUGGAGGCAGAGGGAGAGCUCUUUUGAAGAACAAGAGGCUUGAAGUCCAGAAAGAAGUUAUUCAGACAAUGGAGCAGAGAAGCUGGGAAAAGAUGAAUCUGGGAGAGAAAGCCAACCUGGAGGUCCCCACAACCAUUCUCUGUGUGGGGAGACUUGCUUGGCCUCGUGCGGGUCUAUCGAUUUCUCAGCUGCCUCUUAGAAACUUCCCUAAGAAACAAUUCCACCAGCUGCCUUUUCAAAAUGGCUGAGAGGCUGUGGAUUCCUGGCUCUGGGCAGCUUUAAAAAAGUGCCAUCAGCCAUCUUAGGAUGUGGCUUCCAAGCUCAUUAUUGUUACCUCAAGGUUUCAGAAUAGCUGUUUCACCUCUGGCAUUGCUUCUGCAUUCCUGCCAGGAGGAAGUGGAGGAUUCAAAGGAAAAGUGGAAAAUGGGUCCCGUACCGGCCCUAGAAAGGGCCGGUAAUAACACAGGGAAGAGCUCACGUGAUCCUCUGCAGAACAAAGCAAGUCUGUCUCUCUCAGUUAAGCCAAAAUUCAGCAAAAACCUGUACCCACUUCAUGGUUAAGCUCUGAGAAAUUGGGCUCAUUAGAGUCCCUAAGUGCUGACACUACCACUAAUUAUUUCAUGACUCCUAGAGCCUGGCUUUUGUCACAGAUCAUGGCCAGACAACUGCCUCCUUGGCAGGGAACAUCCCUCUGUAAUAACUGGCCAUAAAGACCAUUAAUGGUGACACUCCUUCUGCCUCUGAUCUGCAAUCUGCUCCAAUUACCAUUGAUGAGAUAUCAGAAGAUAAUCUACUACCAGGCAGGAAUAUUGAGUGCUUCAGCUCUGCUGCUGCGAAAGCAAAGAGGAUAGGAAGAGUUCAUUUGACUCGAUAAGUUACCUUUACGAGAAAGUAAACAGUGGAGGUGCAAGUGUGGGAAGAAAGUAAAAAAGAAGAAAAUAAGGUGGCAGUGCCUAUAAUUGCUUCCUAGAUUUUCUCUCUCUCUUUUUUAAACCACUCUUGACCUGUCUCUUUCCCUAUGUUUACUUUGAAUUGCCUUUAUCUUCCCC
rnacentral:lncRNA from 1 species